CUGAGUGAGGGAGCAAUCCCGACCUCCAACCCUUUGUGAACGCAUCAUGUUGCUUCGGGGGCGACCCCGCCGUUCGCGGCAUUCCCCCCGGAGGUAAUCAAAACACUGCAUUCUUACGUCGGAGUAAAAAGUUAAUUUAAUA
rnacentral:misc_RNA from 1 species